rnacentral:sRNA from 1 species
UCCUCUGGGUAGAAGGGAUACCCGGCCUA